rnacentral:misc_RNA from 1 species
AGACACUCCAAACAAGUCAAUCAUAUUUGCUUGAUUCAUAAUCACUAUCAAAUUCUUCCUCAUCAGUUUUUUCAUUUUCUUCAAGGAAUUUCUCAUCACUUGUUUCAUAUUUUUAUCAGUUUAGGAUUCCUCCUUAUUAGCCCUAGAUGUUCCUUCUCCAUAAUUAGUUGGAAUUGAUUCAAGAAUAGUAGCAUCGAAUUUUACAUAUGUGCCUUCUCUUUGUUGUAA